AUGCCUCACCUACCUCUUCAACAAUUCUCGUACGUCGAAAAUCGUCUUCAUUCAUACCCUUCAGAUCUAUAACUGGGAUCUGAACGUUAACUAUGUUUGAAUCUGAAUCAAGAUUCUCAGCACUGAACUCAUUUUCUAUUAAGGUCGAUGUGACAAAGAUCUCGGGAAUAUGAACUAUUCCUGAAUCGACUAGUCCUUUUACACCAGCCUUUGUGUCAUCG
rnacentral:misc_RNA from 1 species